rnacentral:lncRNA from 1 species
UAUGGAAGCUCCUGGGCCAGGGACUGAAUCUGAGCCAUAGGUGCAACCUAUGCCGCAGCUGCGGCAAUACUGGAUCCUUUAGCCCACUGUAAGGGGCUGGGGAUCAAACCCAUGCCUCUGCAGUGACCUGAGCUGCUGCAGUUGGAGUCUUAAGCCACUGCACCACAGUGGGAACUUCUGGAUGCUCCUUUUUAUCCCUAGUACCUAACACAGAGCCUAUUGCUCAUUGGCUGGGAGAACAAAUAGAUAAUCAAUGGAUACUGUGUAAAGAAUAGAUAAUUAGUGUGAACAAAGUGCUUAGUGAUAAAGAAGAGAGAAUGACUGCUUCUGCCUGAGAGAUGGGCACGGCUUCUCAGAAGAGGUGAUAUCUCCUUAUGCCUUGGUCUUUUCAUGAGUAUUAUUACACCACGGACAACAACCCUGUGAAAUGGAUCCUACCCCCAUUUUUACAACUAGCGAAUCUUAAUCUCUGACAAGUAACUUGCCCAAAGUUAAUACACCUAUGAAUUGCUUUCAAAUGGCUUCCUAUGGAAUGCUAAAGAAUUAUUCUGUAGGCAACUGGGAGCCAUCAAAUGUUUUAAGGAGGAAAAAAGGUCAUCAGAAAUAUAUUUAAAUUAACUCUGGCAGCAGGAGUAGGAAGUUAAUUAAAAGGAGAAUGAAUGGGGCAGGGCAGAGACUAGAGAUCAAAGAAUAACUAGUAGGUUAUUCUAAUGGCUUGGGAAAGAGCCAGAGAGGGAUAAUUUAACACAGCAGCAAGGGUGUGGAUGAGGCAGGGAAAGACUGGAAAGCCAUUUUACAAGCAGAUUUCAAAGGAUUUGGUCACUGAUGACAUGUAAGUGGGGAGUGGAAAGAAGUAAUCACAGGUGACUCUGAACCUUCUUUGCUAGGUGAUGGAAUGCAUCAAGCAUUAAUAACCUUGAGAGGAAACACAGAGAGAAGAAGAGGGUGGGGAGGUGUGAAUAAGACGAUGGAGUUGACUUUAGAUAUUUUUAACUUGAGACGUCAGUGGACUAUUCGAGGUUCACAGGGAUAUUAAAGUGAGGAACUGAAGCUUCAUAGAGGCCUAACAUGCAUUUGAGAGUAACUCUGAAGUAGGGGGUGAUUAAAGCAACGGGAGUGGGUGCAAUCCUCCAGAGAGCAUGCAAGAUGAGAAGAGGCAGGAGAACCUGUCCCCAGGGGCAUGAACAUUGGCGGAGUGGUGGAGGAGGGCGGUGUGUUACCAGCCUGAGGAAGAGCCAUUAGAAAGAGAAGGGAACCGAGAGAGUCAUUACAAGGCCCAUGAACUAGAGGAGCACCAAGGAGGAAAAGCUGACUGCUAUCCAAUGACAAAGCAGAAGAGCCAAGCAGGAAGAGAACUGAUGUGUGAGCAUCAGAUUUAUAACACCAGUGACAGAGCUGAAUAACACAUAUGGAGAAGCCUGGAUGUGUGUAUAGUAUGAUUUGAGAGAUACUAGAAAGGGCUAUUAGACAUACCUCAUGUAUGCACAUAAGGGAAUAUGAUUGGCUCCUGUUUUCUCUCCCAAGAGCUGGAAGUAUUAGACUUUCUUCCUCAGAAAAGAGACAAAAGAAGUACUUACUUCUCAAUGACAACUGGGGAAAACCAUGACCUAUUGCCUGUACAUAGAUGCUAAUUUUUUGUAUUGUGUGCACUGUAGACAUGUUUAACAUGAACUUGCUUUGAGACAAUUUACUAGAUACGCCCAGGGGAGCAGGGCCUUCUUAAAAUAAUGGUGGCUCCAAGCAGUGGUAGGGAGGACUUCUGUAAUGGUGUAAUGAUUUUCAGAAAACCUCCAAUAUUUUUAUAUGUACUAAAGCCAGUCUCCAAUGUCGUUAUUCUUUUUAUUACUAUUUUUUUAAAAUCAGAAGAAUACUGGUCUGGCAGUUUCUUAUCAAAUUAAAUGUAUAAUUAUGAUACAAUCCAGCAAUCCCACCUCUCAGUACUUAUCUAAUGAAUGAAAACUGACGUUUAUAUAAACACCUGUAUGUGAAUGCUUUCAGUAGUUUUAUUAGCAUUUGCCAAAAUUGGAAACAACCCAGAUGUCCUUCAAAUGGAGAAGGGGUAAACAAACUGUGGUAUAUCCAUCCCGAGUCAAUACUAAACAAUCAAAGUGAAGGAACUAGUGACACACACCCUCAGCUUUGAUAAGUCUCUGCAUUAUAGCAAGUGAAAGAAGCCCUUCCCUUUAUAUGACAUUAUGGAAAGGGCAAAACUAUAGGAACAGAACACAGUGACUUCCAGAGACUGGGGGUAAGGAGAGGUCUUGAGAAGAAGGGGAUGCCAGGAGCAGCAGUUUUUUGAGUUAUGGAACUUUUAUAUCUCGACUGUGGUAAUGGUUAUACAACUGUAUGCACUUGUUAAAAUCUGCAGAACUGUACACUAAAAAUGGUAAAUUUUACUGAAUGUAAAGUAUAUUUUAUUAAAAACAAGGAGAGAGAAGAACACCUGCCUGGGAAUUAAGAGAACUGGAAUCCAGUUUCAGUUCUGCCACUGACUAGCUGUGUAAUCAUGGACUACCCUCUAACCCUCUUGGGGUCUUGGUGCCCAAAUCUGUAAAAUGAGAUUAGAAAGUUUCUCAAAGAGUCUACUGCAAUGCUCUACAAAGACUUCCUUCUUUAAGCAAGGAGGUGGACCAGAUGGCCUAUUCUAGUUCAGAUGGCCUACUUCAGUUGCUGAAGUAUCACUGUGGGGGUGACUGGACUAAAAUACUCAGUCUGUACACAUGGUUCUGAAAAGUCUUCUUGGAUUAGAAAGUAGUGUUUCUAAUUUGUGCUGUUCCAUAAGAUGGAGCUUUGGAAAAGUCCAUCUGGCCAUCUAAUUCACAACUGAAAUUUGACACAUAUAUUUGGACAACGUGGAAAAAGCCCCUCGGGAAACACUAAUGUUUAAUGAGCUAUAACUGGCCUUGGUAAACAAUCAUAUUCUUGAUUUUUUUUGCAUUUUGUCGGCACUAAUUAAAAAGGCCUUUGAAGAUGGCAGCGUUGACUAUCUUCAUUUACCUUAUCCUCCAGUUGGAACAUUGCUUUCUACUGCUUGAAUUUACCCUUGAGGACACAGGUUCAAUCCCUGGCCUCACUCAGUGAGCUAAGGAUCUGGCGUUGCUGUGAGCUCUGGUGUAGGUCACAAACACGGCUUGGAUCCCACAUUGCUGUGGCUGUGGUGUAGGCCGUCAGCCACAGCUCCGAUCCGACCCCGAGCCUGGGAACUUCCAUAUGCUGAAAGUGUGGACCUAAAAAGAAAAAAAAGACAUUGGAAGAGAUGCCCCAAGAGCAGCACCGUAUUACAGUGUCCCUGGGUUAGAGGGAAGGAUUUUCAGCUCAAAAGGGAAGAUACUAGGAAUAAAAAAAAUAACCUUUUUUCUUUUCCAUUAUGGCUUACUAUAGGGUAUUGAAUACCAUUCCCUGUUUUAUACAGGGGGACCCUUUUGUUUAUCCACUCUUCUUUAGUUUUUAAAUUUUUAAAAUUAUGGUUGACUUACAACGUUGUGCCAAUUUCUGCUGUACAGCAAAGUGACUCAGCCAUAUAUAUAUAUACACGCAUUCUUUUUUAAUAUUAUUUUCUAUCAGAGUCUAUCCCAGGAUAUUGGAUAUAGUUCCUUGUACUUGUAGGACCCUGUUGUUUACAAAAAAAAUGAUCUUGCUGAUGAUGUCAUAAGUUUACAUUUUUUGACCUUGUAAAAAAUGAUUCACAAUGUAUGGCCCAGAAAUUGUGCUUGUAAAUAAAGUUUUAUUGGUUUACUUCACACAGUUAAUUUAAGAUUGUCUGUGUUUGCUCUCCCAUGAUGGAGUGGUUACUUACAACAGACACUAUACGGACUGCAGAGUCUAAAACACCCUUUAGAGAAUAAGUCUGCCAACCUACCUUCCUAGAAUAUGCCAUGCUAUAUAGUUUCCACACAAAACCUCAUGUAUUCCUCACAUCAUUGCCAUGAAAUAGGAAUUAAUAUCCUCAUUUGACAGAUCAGCGGUGAUGAAGUGUAAUGGAUAAAAGAUUGCUGUGGAGACAGACAGACCUGUACUAUGCUUUUUAACAGCUAUCUGCCAUUGGGUCUGUUAUUUAAAUUCUCUGUGCUCCAUUUCCCCAUAUGUAAAUUGAGGCUAACCACAGUCCUGAUUAUGGUAGGGUAAAUGUCAAGAGUUGAUGGGACAAUUAGUGCAUCGCUUUGCAUAUAGUAAACAUUUAAUACUCAUUAGCUAUAUGAAAAAUAACUUUCCGUAUCUCUGGGAUGUUUUUCUUCUUAGAAAUACCACCCAGCAUGAAAGAGCUAAGGAUGUCCCGCAUAUGCUUGAUUAUAGAUUAAUCUGACGGAUCCCAAAAUAAUUGGCACUACUUCUGUGUGUUACAUAAGGCAACUUUUUUUUUCCUCCUGUCUCUCAUGAACCAAGCAAAAGGAAAAGUAUAAUAAUGAUGUUUCCAGCUCUGUACUGCAUUUUCCAAAAGUCAGCCGGAGGUGCCCUGACACGGCCGAACUUCUUGCAGGAACAUGUGAGCAAGCAAGACCACCUGGCCAAGAUAGACAUCCUGGCCACUCCAUGGACAGGACACAGAAGACCGAAAAGCUGCAUGGAGGAAGGACCCAGCUCAAAGGCACCAAAGAGAAAAACAAUAAAGCAGGGCCAAACAUUGAUUGUGGUGCUUGCAAAUGUCCAGUAAUUAUAGGGCCCUUGUGAAUAAAGACAUGGAAAUCAGGGGCUGGUAUUUUAGCUGAAGGAUCAUUCUGGCUUUAGAUAACGAGCCAUUUCAGGAAUUUUUGUCAUGAAUCAUUGAUGGUGUCUCUAAACUGAUGUAUUUACUAUGGAUCUGCUACACAUAUUUUUUAAAUACUUUAUAGUUUUUGUCUUUGGUUGGUCUCCAGAAGGAGGAUUGCAAGAAAAAGGAGGGCAGAGACUCCAUCUUCCCUGUGUUCCAAUAACCCAUAGUGGCUGGCUGGAGCACCCCCUCCCCGGCCACUUGUAACAGUCUUGGGCCUAUUGCUAUCAUGGGGCUCCUAGCCGACUGAGUGAAAAUGACUGGUGUAGAAUGAAAAGCAUGAGACAAGUUUUAAAACAUGAAUCAAAAAUUGGAAAAUUAGGCUUGAUUAUCUAUUAGAUUAUUGCCUCUAGAAACAUGGUGGAAGGAGCUUUGAGAUGGGUGUAUCUAAAGUGGAGGUCUGAUUACAAACUGAUAUAACUGAUGGGAUAUGUGCAUAAGUUCUUCAUCCACAGGAAUGCUGUUUCCAUGAGAGAAAAAUCUUUAGAAUUCAUUCAUCUGUUUCAUUUAUUCAUUUGUUUGGCGUUGAUUUCCAAGGAAAUGCCAAUCAGAAGCACCAUGACAUACCACUCUACACAUUAUGAGAAUGCUUAUAGCAAAAAAGAUAGACAAUAACCACCGUUGGCAAAGAGUAUGGAGAAAUGGAGACCCUCAUAUGCUGCUUGUGGGAAUAUUAACUGAUGCACCUGCUUUGGAAAACAAUCUGACAGCUCCUCUAGUGGUCACACAUGCAGUUACCAUAUGACUCAGAAAUUUCAUGCUCAGGUAUAUACUCAAGAGAAAUGAAAACAGGUCUGCGCAAAAACUUAUGCAAGAAUGUUCAAAACAGCAUUACUAAUAAUAACCAAGAUUCAGAAACAAUCCAAAUGUCCAUCCACUGAUAAAUGGAUAAGUAAAACGUGAUCACUCAUAUGAUCAUUAUUUGGCAAUAAAAAGAAAUAUUGACACAUGCUCAGAACAUGAGUGAACAUAAGAAAUGUCAUUCCAAAGGAAAGUAGCCAAUUGCAAGAGACCACGUAUUGAAUAAUUUCAUCCAUGGGGAAUGUCUAGAAUAGGCAAAUAGACAGAAAGCAGAUUAUUGUUUCUAAGGGCUGGUGGUUAAAAGGAUAUUGGGAGGAAAUGGAGAAUGACUUUUAAUGGGUACCAGGUUUCUUUUGCAGAUGAUGAAAGUGUUUUGAUAUUAAUUCUGGUGAUGGUUGCACAACUCUGUACCUGUACUAAAAACAACUGAAUUUACCCUUUAAGUGGGAAAACUGCAAGUCCUGUGAAUAGUAUCUCAAUAAAGGAUAUUACAAAAAUAAGGCUUGGUUAUAAAUCACUGAGGUUGAUUUACUUUUGUGGCUUCUAUUACUGCCUGCUAACUACGUUCUGUACUUAGUGUCACAUGGCACUGAGCGGUGUAUGUAUUUUGGCUCCUUUCAUUCUUACAACGUCCCUAUGAGGUGAUUCGAUUUGUUGAUCUCACUUUUCAGGAAUUAGGAAACUGGAACACAGAGAGAUUAAGUAACUUCCCUGAAAUAACACAGCAGUAAGUGUUGGAGCCAAGAUUAAAAAUUCAGGUCUGUCUGAUGCUAAACGUCACUCUUUCUCCUUCUCCUUGUUUUUUUCUAAAAAAAC